rnacentral:rRNA from 1 species
AUUGAACGCUGGCGGCAGGCUUAACACAUGCAAGUCGAGCGGGGUGAUGGUGCUUGCACUAUCACUUAGCGGCGGACGGGUGAGUAAUGCUUAGGAAUCUGCCUAUUAGUGGGGGACAACAUCUCGAAAGGGAUGCUAAUACCGCAUACGUCCUACGGGAGAAAGCAGGGGAUCACUUGUGACCUUGCGCUAAUAGAUGAGCCUAAGUCGGAUUAGCUAGUUGGUGGGGUAAAGGCCUACCAAGGCGACGAUCUGUAGCGGGUCUGAGAGGAUGAUCCGCCACACUGGGACUGAGACACGGCCCAGACUCCUACGGGGGGCAGCAGUGGGGAAUAUUGGACAAUGGGGGGAACCCGGAUCCAGCCAUGCCGCGUGUGUGAAGAAGGCCUUAUGGUUGUAAAGCACUUUAAGCGAGGAGGAGGCUCUUUUGGUUAAUACCCAAGAUGAGUGGACGUUACUCGCAGAAUAAGCACCGGCUAACUCUGUGCCAGCAGCCGCGGUAA